AGAGUUUGAUCCUGGCUCAGGAUGAACGCUAGCGGCAGGCUUAACACAUGCAAGUCGAGGGGUAUAGUUCUUCGGAACUAGAGACCGGCGCACGGGUGCGUAACGCGUAUGCAAUCUACCUUUUGCAGAGGGAUAGCCCAGAGAAAUUUGGAUUAAUACCUCAUAGUAUGUGAGAAUGGCAUCAUUUUCACAUUAAAGUCACAACGGCAAAAGAUGAGCAUGCGUCCCAUUAGCUAGUUGGUAAGGUAACGGCUUACCAAGGCAACGAUGGGUAGGGGUCCUGAGAGGGAGAUCCCCCACACUGGUACUGAGACACGGACCAGACUCCUACGGGAGGCAGCAGUGAGGAAUAUUGGACAAUGGGCGCAAGCCUGAUCCAGCCAUGCCGCGUGCAGGAUGACGGUCCUAUGGAUUGUAAACUGCUUUUGUACAGGAAGAAACACUGGUUCGUGAACCAGCUUGACGGUACUGUAAGAAUAAGGAUCGGCUAACUCCGUGCCAGCAGCCGCGGUAAUACGGAGGAUCCAAGCGUUAUCCGGAAUCAUUGGGUUUAAAGGGUCCGUAGGCGGUCUGAUAAGUCAGUGGUGAAAGCCCAUCGCUCAACGGUGGAACGGCCAUUGAUACUGUUUGACUUGAAUUAUUAGGAAGUAACUAGAAUAUGUAGUGUAGCGGUGAAAUGCUUAGAGAUUACAUGGAAUACCAAUUGCGAAGGCAGGUUACUACUAAUGGAUUGACGCUGAUGGACGAAAGCGUGGGUAGCGAACAGGAUUAGAUACCCUGGUAGUCCACGCCGUAAACGAUG
rnacentral:rRNA from 1 species